rnacentral:lncRNA from 1 species
AGAAGGGUCAUGGGUUAUGUGAUGAGUGGCACCUGUGUCGGGAUACCACAAAGGAUCUUGAACAGUUGAAGGAGUGCCCAAGAUGGAAGGUUCAGAAUGAUCAGGAUUUGAAGACGACGGAAAGAAAGUUGCAUUAGCAGAAAUUUGUGAAGGCCCCUUGAUAUCAGAACGAGUCCAGCAAGUGAGAGUCGUGUGACCAUAUUUGAAACAGAGCUGACAUUGAACCCGGGCAGGAGCGGUGGAAGAAGAUUGAUCAG